rnacentral:rRNA from 1 species
GCGUGGAUGAUGAAGGCCUUCGGGUUGUAAAGUCCUUUUGGCGGGGACGAUGAUGACGGUACCCGCAGAAUAAGCCCCGGCUAACUUCGUGCCAGCAGCCGCGGUAAGACGAAGGGGGCAAGCGUUGUUCGGAAUUACUGGGCGUAAAGGGCGCGUAGGCGGCCCGAUAAGUCAGACGUGAAAGCCCUGGGCUCAACCCGGGAAUUGCGUUUGGGACUGUUGGGCUUGAGAGCGGGAGAGGGUAGUGGAAUUCCCAGUGUAGAGGUGAAAUUCGU